rnacentral:rRNA from 3 species
UUAACAAAAACAUGUCCUUUUGAUAAUAAUUUAAGGUCUAAUCUGCCCAAUGAUGAGUUAAAUGGCCGCGAUAUUUUGAUCGUGCGAAGGUAGCAUAAUCAUUAGCUUUUUAAUUGAAAGCUGGUAUGAAGGAUUGGACGAGAAGCUUUCUGUCUCUAUUUAAUUUGUUGAAUUUUAUUUUUUAGUUAAAAAGCUUAAAUUGGUUUGUAAGACGAGAAGACCCUAUAGAGUUUUAUAUCUGUUAUUUUUAAGAUUAAUUUUAGGUUCAUAUUGCUUAAUUUACAUAGUUAUUUAGUUGGGGUGACGGAAAAAUUUAAUAAACUUUUUCUUUUAAAAAUAUUUAUUUAUAGGUUUUUGACUUAAUUUAUUUUAGUUAGAAGAUUAAAUUACCUUAGGGAUAACAGCGUAAUUUUUCUAGAGAGUUCAUAUCGAAAGAUAAGAUUGCGACCUCGAUGUUGGAUUAAAGUUAAAAUUUGGUGUAGGAGCUUAAUGUUUUAGUCUGUUCGACUAUUAAAACUUUACAUGAUCUGAGUUUAAACCGGCGUGAGCCAGGUUGGUUUCUAUCUUCAAUAAUUUAAAAUAUUUUAGUACGAAAGGACCAAAUAUUUUUUAAAUUAAAUUAAUUUUUGACUUAUAUU